AGCUUUAUAGCGCAAUGGAAGCGCACCAGGUACAUAUCCUGGCGGUCCUCUGUUCGAUUCAGAGUGAAGCUA